UCAUCGCGUCUCUUUCUCUCUCUCUCUCUCGAUGGAAUCAUUAUGUGUAUCUCUUGCUCUCCUCGACAGACCGGAAAAGGAGAGACAGGAAGAAUCAAACCUCUGAAUCUCUCAGAAGACGGAAGAGAACGAUGAAGAAGCAGACGAUUUACUCAUGUGGAGCAACGAUUGUUAUCUUCCUCGUCUGAUGAUCAUCACUCCCAGCAUCCCUCAGUCUCAAGCCUAUCAUGAUUUCGCCGAUCAACGAUCCUUCUUCGGAUUGAUGAACACAAGGGAAAUUACAGAAAGCUAUGAUGGGUUUUUCACCACCGUGGAGUCCCUCAUUGACGGCACCGGAGACUUCUCAGUCGAGAAGGAGUUCAUGUCUCAUGUUUCUACUCUCUGCAAGUACGGCCUUGAUUCUCUUGUUCAUGACCACUUUCUCAUAUCACUCCUGCAAGCUUUUGAGAAGAGCGGUGCAUUGAGUUUUUCGCAUCAUUUUGAUGAUUGCAGCGAUAAGAACCAUACUAUAAGAUUACGAAGAAGAGAUUCACCAAGUGUUGUGCAAGGCUUUGGAAGAAAUUUCUAUAGAGAAGCAGAACCAUGACAAGCGUAUGUCCAUGGAAACACUCGCCUUUACGUUGGUAGCUUGUCAUCUAGAACUCGUACCAGAGACCUUGAGCGUCUUUUCAGCAGAUACGGAAGCUGGGAAUCUUCUGUUUCAGUUGGCCUAUUUGUGAUUGCUUGAUUGCUUUCCACUCCUCUGGAUAUUCUCUUGAGAAAGUUCAAGCAUAUUAUUCAGUUGCGUAAAGGAUAAGUCUUGAGUCUGUUCAUGUUAAAGUAUGCAACUUUGGUUUAAGAUCCUAUAUGGUUUGGGAAUAUAGUAAUCUUUAGUGCAGUGGCUGAUUAUCCUUAGUAAAAUAUAAUGAGUGAUCACAUGAUUUGUACUUGUAUUUGAAUCUAGCAUUGAAGCCUUAAUGAGUGAAUCAGAUGAUUAUCCUUAAUAAAUUUUUUAAGAACCCUUAAUUAAGAGACUAGCACUGAAGCACAAAAACUAUAUGUUUCUUAACUAAAGUUCUUAACUAUUAUUUAUUAUUAAAAAAAUCACUAAGAAACCAUAAUGAGGUUGUAUGGUUAAUCAUGCUUUAAAGCUCUUGUCGCAAUUGUAAAUAUAAUUCAAUAGAAAGGUGAUUUUUACACAGCCUAAAGUGAAUAUUUAUACUAACGAUAGAAGAUCGUAUAUAAUCAAUAUUCUUAUUCUCCUAAGUCCUAAGUACAAGGAUUAAUAAUUAUCCUAAAGAAUAAUAAAAGAAAAUCCAACUAAUAAAUAAAAUAGGAAACACGUAAAACAUUUUUACGAAGUCAUAACCUACGCUGCAUCAUAUAUUAAUUUUCGUACUUGAUAAAUUGUUAGUGUGAUAGAUAUACGAGGAUCCCAGGCAUCACUAAUUUACCAGUUCCUAAAUUUUAUCGAGUUUUCAAGUAUAGAGAAGAGAAGCAUGGGUUGUUCGUUAGUUUAAUGGUAAUUAAUAUUUAGAAACUGAA